CGCCUGGAGUGGCACGAACGCGAAACGUUACGGCGCCAUAGGAUGUGGCUGCGGCCGAUUAGGUAGACGGUGGGGUAACGCGAAACGUUACGGCGCCAUAGGAUGUGGCUGCGGCCGAUUAGGUAGACGGUGGGGUAACGGCCCACCGUGCCCAUAAUCGGUACGGGUUGUGAGAGCAAGAGCCCGGAGACGGUAUCUGAGACAAGAUACCGGGCCCUACGGGGCGCAGCAGGCGCGAAACCUUUACACUGCACGCGAGUGCGAUAAGGGGACUCCGAGUGCGAGGGCAUAUAGUCCUCGCUUUUCACGACCGUAAGGUGGUCGUAGAAUAAGUGCUGGGCAAGACCGGUGCCAGCCGCCGCGGUAAUACCGGCAGCACGAGUGAUGACCGCUAUUAUUGGGCCUAAAGCGUCCGUAGCUGGCCACGCAAGUCUAUCGGGAAAUCCGCGCGCUUAACGCGCGGGCGUCCGGUGGAAACUGUGUGGCUUGGGACCGGAAGACCAGAGGGGUACGUCCGGGGUAGGAGUGAAAUCCCGUAAUCCUGGACGGACCACCGGUGGCGAAAGCGCCUCUGGAAGACGGAUCCGACGGUGAGGGACGAAAGCUCGGGUCACGAACCGGAUUAGAUACCCGGGUAGUCCGAGCUGUAAACGAUGUCUGCUAAGGGUGGCACAGGCUACGAGCCUGUGCUGUGCCGUAGGGAAGCCGUGAAGCAGACCGCCUGGGAAGUACGUCCGCAAGGAUGAAACUUAAAGGAAUUGGCGGGGGAGCACUACAACCGGAGGAGCCUGCGGUUUAAUUGGACUCAAC
rnacentral:rRNA from 1 species